rnacentral:rRNA from 1 species
GAGCUUGCUCCCUUAGGUCAGCGGCGGACGGGUGAGUAACACGUGGGUAACCUGCCUGUAAGACUGGGAUAACUCCGGGAAACCGGGGCUAAUACCGGAUGCUUGAUUGAACCGCAUGGUUCAAUCAUAAAAGGUGGCUUUCAGCUACCACUUACAGAUGGACCCGCGGCGCAUUAGCUAGUUGGUGAGGUAACGGCUCACCAAGGCGACGAUGCGUAGCCGACCUGAGAGGGUGACCGGCCACACUGGGACUGAGACACGGCCCAGACUCCUACGGGAGGCAGCAGUAGGGAAUCUUCCGCAAUGGACGAAAGUCUGACGGAGCAACGCCGCGUGAGUGAUGAAGGUUUUCGGAUCGUAAAACUCUGUUGUUAGGGAAGAACAAGUACCGUUCGAAUAGGGCGGCACCUUGACGGUACCUAACCAGAAAGCCACGGCUAACUACGUGCCAGCAGCCGCGGUAAUACGUAGGUGGCAAGCGUUGUCCGGAAUUAUUGGGCGUAAAGCGCGCGCAGGCGGUUUCUUAAGUCUGAUGUGAAAGCCCCCGGCUCAACCGGGGAGGGUCAUUGGAAACUGGGGACUUGAGUGCAGAAGAGGAGAGUGGGAUUCCACGUGUAGCGGUGAAAUGCGUAGAGAUGUGGAGGAACACCAGUGGCGAAGGCGA